CAAGUCGAACGGCAGCACGGACUUCGGUCUGGUGGCGAGUGGCGAACGGGUGAGUAAUAUAUCGGAACGUAUCCAAUAAUGGGGGAUAACUAAUCGAAAGGUUGGCUAAUACCGCAUACGCCCUACGGGGGAAAGCAGGGGAUCUUCGGACCUUGCGUUAAUGGAGCGGCUGAUAUCUGAUUAGCUAGUUGGUGAGGUAAAGGCUCACCAAGGCGACGAUCAGUAGCUGGUCUGAGAGGACGACCAGCCACACUGGAACUGAGACACGGUCCAGACUCCUACGGGAGGCAGCAGUGGGGAAUUUUGGACAAUGGGCGCAAGCCUGAUCCAGCCAUUCCGCGUGAGUGAAGAAGGCCUUCGGGUUGUAAAGCUCUUUCGCAAGGGAAGAAAACUUACUUUUUAAUAAAGAGUGAGGUUGACGGUACCUUGAUAAGAAGCACCGGCUAACUACGUGCCAGCAGCCGCGGUAAUACGUAGGGUGCGAGCGUUAAUCGGAAUUACUGGGCGUAAAGCGUGCGCAGGCGGUUUUGUAAGUCAGAUGUGAAAUCCCCGAGCUCAACUUGGGAACUGCGUUUGAAACUACAAGACUAGAAUAUGUCAGAGGGGGGUAGAAUUCCACGUGUAGCAGUGAAAUGCGUAGAGAUGUGGAGGAAUACCAAUGGCGAAGGCAGCCCCCUGGGAUAAUAUUGACGCUCAUGCACGAAAGCGUGGGGAGCAAACAGGAUUAGAUACCCUGGUAGUCCACGCCCUAAACGAUGUCUACUAGUUGUUGGUGGAGUAAAAUCCAUGAGUAACGCAGCUAACGCGUGAA
rnacentral:rRNA from 1 species